GGAGAGGUGGCUGAGUGGUUGAAAGCGACGGAUUGCUAAUCCGUUAUAUCGGUAUCUGCCGGUAUCGGGGGUUCAAAUCCCCCCCUCUCCG
rnacentral:tRNA from 1 species